UACGAAGGGGGCGAGCGUUGUUCGGAUUUACUGGGCGUAAAGGGCGCGCAGGCGGCUCAUUUUGUCAGGCGUGAAAGCCCCGGGCUUAACCUGGGAACUGCGUUUGAUACGGAUGGGCUAGAGUUCGGGAGAGGAGAGUGGAAUUCCCAGUGUAGAGGUGGAAUUCGUAGAUAUUGGGAAGAACACCGGUGGCGAAGGCGGCUCUCUGGACCGAGACUGACGCUGAGGCGCGAAAGCGUGGGGAGCAAACAGG
rnacentral:rRNA from 1 species